CGUCGCUGGCUCACGUGUGCGCGGCGGACAGAGGGCGUGGCCUGCGCUCGACGGCGACACUGACGCGGUGUUCUCCUGCGUGUCGGUGCUGGUCGGUGCUCGUCGGUGGGUGUCCGGUGCAGCAGCAGCAGCAGCAGCAGCAGCAGCAUCAUGGCCGCGGAGGAGCAGGACGACGCCGCGCUGCUGGUUCUCAUCUAUCAGCACCUGAAGGUGAACGGCUUCCAGAGAGCCGCCAAGGGGCUGGAGAAGCACGUGGCCCGGGUGGAAACGCCAGAGGAGAGCUCCAACCUACAUGAUAUCUACACGGGCUGGAUGAAACUUUGCUCCCUCGCUCAACAUGCCAAGCAGGAGGCCGAAGACUCAGCCACGUUAAAGAAGCGGAGCAUCAAGGCGGAGCCUGCCACCAGCGAAGAAGAAGAGGCGGCGAACGGCAAACUCGCCGCCGCCGCAGGAGAGGAAGAAGAAGCGGAUGCAAAGCCUCCAGCUGGGUCCCGGGCAGAUGCCGUGGACUCGUCCGCUGCAGAUCUGAGCCGUGGGGGGAAACACGCCGACGCCGUCUCGGAGCGGCGGCCGGAAGCCGCAGGUGAAACGGGAUCAACGAACCCGGAGGCCGAGAGACCUGACGACGACGAAGAGGACGAAGAGGAGGAGGAAACCAAAUCCGAACAGGAGUCGGCUCCUGUCGAAGCGUCUGCCGAGGCCACUAACGGCUCCUGUGACUGCGAGGAAGCAGCUGAGGACGGGAGCAGCACUGAGCACGUGGAGCUCGACGAUGAGCCCAAACAGGAGACAGACGCCGCCGCGGACGCAGCCGCGGACGCCGCCGCGGACACCACCGCGGACGCCGCCGCAGACGUAACCCCUGCGUCAGAGCAGGCGGCUGUCGGUCAAACGGAGGCCACGCCCCCCAGCACUCAGGAGGUCGAGGAUGAGGAGGUGGACGCUGCAGAGACGUCCGCCCAGGCCGAGCCCCCGGCGGCCGAGCAGACCAAUGACCAGCCAGCGGAGAGCGAGGCCCCGCCCCCUGCAGACGCUGAAAAUCCAAAAGAAGAAGACGAUGAGGUAGUGGAGGAAGAGGAGGAAGAGGAGAAGCCCAAGGACCUCACAUCCCCACUGACGUCUGACGACCAGGCGGAGACGCCAGCGGCCUCGGGUGACGGAGGCGCCGCCGGCGGCCUUCCCCCCGCUGACACUGAAGAGCCGACGGCGGAGGAGGAGCGAACAGACCCGGACGACUCCAUCACGCUCAACAUUCAGGUCGAAGUCGACGACGGGACGGAGGCGGAGUCCGGCAAAGAGGCGACAACUCCCAAGAAAAAGAAGAAGAAGAGCAAGAAGGAAACGAAAACCGAUGCCGCGGAAACGCCGAGCACAGACGCGUCCGCCUCGGACACGCUCAGUGACACUCCUCUCGCCCCCAAGUCCGCCAAGAAGAAGAAGCGAGACAAAAAGAGAAAGGAGGAGGAUCAGACGGUGGAGGAGGAGGAGAAGCUGGAGGAAGAGGAGGAGGAGGAGGAGGAGCCAGUGGUGGUGGUCGUGUCUCAGGUCACCCCAUCAGAGAAGAAGGCGAAGAAAAGGAAACUGGAGCGAGACGAAGCGGAGGAAGAGAAAGAGGAGGAAACUCCUGUCGUGCCUUUGGAAAACAAAAUUAAGAAGAAGAAGAAGAAGAAGGUAAAAGAAGUGGAGGAGGUGGAGGAGGAAGAGGAGGAGGAGGAGGAGAAGGUGGAGGAUCCUGUUAGUCCGGCAGAGAAAAAGAAGAAGAAGAAAAAGAGGAAAAAGGAGGGAGGACAGGGCAAGGAGGUGCAGUCUGAUGAAAUACCAGCAGGGGGCGACAAAGACGCAGAAAUCAAACAGGAGGCAACAGACGGGAACUCUUCCCAGCUCCCCUCUGCGAAGAAGAAACGUCUCCGGAAGAAACUCAGCCUGAAGAAGAGGCUGAGGCUGCACAAGACGGAGGAGAGGAUGAGGAAUAGGACGAUGAUGAAGAAGAAGAAGAAGAAGAGCGCCGCCGCCGCAGGACCGACUGACACCGCGGACAGGAAGAAGCGGACCGAGGAGGAGGCGGCGGCGGCGGCGGCGGAGGAGACGCCUCGGCCGAAACCCACCAAAAGACCCAAAUCCGAUCCCGCCCAGGACGACGACGACAAUGACGACCACACGCCAAAGAAGAAACGGAUCAAUGAACAAGAGGAGAAUCCCUCAAAGGAAAACCAACCUCCGAAGAAGAAGAAGAAGAAGAAGGGGUCGGCGACGGAGGAAGAGGAAAGGGGCGCGGUGGCGCCCGAGCCUCUGGAGGGGGUGUCGUCUCCGCGCUGCGGCGAGGGGACGAAGAAGAAGAAAGGGAAGAAGACGAAGGCGGUUGAAGGGACGACAGGGAACUCCCCUCCCGUCUCGGCCAACCACGACGGACCUGCGAAGAAAAAGAAGAAGAACAGACUAACGGAGAAACUAGAAAAGACAGAAUUCACGGCGACUGCUGCUUCCACGAAAAAGAAAUCCUCCAAAAAGAAAAUCACCUCUGAUUAAAUCUGGUCAAGACAUGAUGAAAGACUCACACGACGACAGCCCCAGAAGUUGAAUAAAAAUGAAUUCUCUCAGUGUCAGUGGAGGGAGGGAGGAGGACGAUGACGAUCGCAUCUUGGACCUGAAAAGCGACACGACAAUCUGCGUAAUGAUGGUGCCUUCACUCCUGAUCGUCCGUGCGAGGUGAAAGGACUCGGCUCUCGGAAAACAUCAGGUUUAACUUUUAACUGUGAAAAACGGGACUAACUCGCGCGCACCUUAGAACCGUGUCGAAUAAGGUUAACAAGGAUUGAGAUAUGAAAUGCUACCGUUUUUGGAGGAUGUUUCAUUUAAUCGCCAUGUCGUUUUUGAAGUGCCGCAAAUUCUACUUACUUUCUGACUGUGAAAAGUCUUCCUCGCUCUCUUUGUGAUAUUAGCCAUAACGACGACCGAUGAGCUUUAGACGUUUCAUGCUCCACGAUUGUGAUCAGUAGAUCUUUAGAGGUUUUUACAGUUUUGAGCUGUCUGGUGGAAAAGUUAGUUAGUUUCAUUGUUACACUAAACUUGUGUUUUGACUGUUUGUUUGUCUUCUUCUCUCUGUCAGUUUAAAAAAGCUGUGACUUUGUUUACAAUGUUCCGUUUUCGCCAUCUUCUUUCUCGGUAAACUCACGUACUGUUAACUAUGCACCUGAUUAAAUGCUGUUAGUUGAAGAGUGAUUAAUAUUCACAUGUUUGCCUGUGGCUUCUGUCUGGGCACUACGAAAUAAAGCAAACAUGUCAACCAAAACCAAAAAUGA